rnacentral:rRNA from 1 species
UACGUAGGGUGCAAGCGUUGUCCGGAAUUAUUGGGCGUAAAGAGCGUGUAGGCGGCCCGACAAGUCCGCUGUGAAAGUCCAGGGCUCAACCCUGGGAUGCCGGUGGAUACUGUCGGGCUCGAGUCCGGAAGAGGCGAGUGGAAUUCCUGGUGUAGCGGUGAAAUGCGCAGAUAUCAGGAGGAACAUCAAUGGCGAAGGCAGCUCGCUGGGACGUGACUGACGCUGAGACGCGAAAGCGUGGGGAGCAAACAGG